rnacentral:lncRNA from 1 species
AAUACUUUUUUUCAUGAUGAGAGAAACAACUCAAGUACACAAUCUUUCAAAUUUCUCUUAACAUACAAAUCAAAAUCUUUGCAAUCACAUUAGCUCAAGGAGGUAAAACAUCCAAUUUAGCUCAUUGGUUGUAGUCAACUUACCUAGGAAAAGAAAACCACCAUAAAAUUUGAGCUUAUGCUUUCAUCAUUUAUACUUUUAUCGAUGGC